rnacentral:hammerhead_ribozyme from 1 species
AGUGACUGACGAAUCGCAAAUAGGACGAAACACGCGUCCUGGAU